AGGCAUGAACUGUGCACCCUGCAGACAGGCGCGCAUCGCAUGAGUCACAGCCCUUUCCUGACUGCUCUCUACGCGGAUGUGCAGAGCCGGCUGCCUCUGUGGACCACUCAGUAUGUAAAACCCGUCUCCGAUGGCGCCUUCGUCGUCUCGAGUACGUGGACCGACGACAGCGGCGCUCAACUGCAGCGUCUCUUCAUCGCUGUCGAGGCAAGCGACACUAACAACAUCAGCGAGGCAGUAUUGACGGAGUGGAUAGCACUUGUGGAAGCAUGGCAGACGGCACACAAGGAAGAUGAGGUAAGCUGCUUUGUCGGCUUUGUGGACCUGGCCGGAACAGUGUCCUACUACAGGUGUGAGACUGCUGUGGCUGGCGUGUUGCGAAGCAAACCCGACGAUCACUUGACUUGCCGUUGAGGUGGCUGCUUCUCCGAAAGGACUCCGCUGCGCGGCAGCCGUGGAAGGUAAAGAAAAACGCUCCACUGUAGAAGCACUGACACACGUGCAGCAGGUAAGCGCAGUAUUAAUGUGAAAGCACAACACAAGAGAGCGCUCGCGCAAAAUCUUCUCCCUUUUCUGCCAUUCACCGUGUUUUCAAAAUCCUCUGCGUCGCCCCAUGCGCGCAGCGGCGGGCUGUGGCAAUGUUGGUCGUACGUUGAAUCGCUCGCGCCCUGAUCGCACGACUCUGUCUCUUCGUUUUUCGAAUCACGCUCAUUCGUCGCUUGCGCGCAGCCCCCUUCCCUACUCCGUCCAUCCACCGUCUCCAUUCUUUAUCUCUCUCUUGUGUGAGCACGUGCUUCCAUCAACGCUCGCGGUGGAUGGCCCACAAUCUGCGCGGUGUCGCCUGCUGUCACCGCCAUCCGUUUCUGUGGUGUAAUAAAAAG
rnacentral:misc_RNA from 1 species